rnacentral:rRNA from 1 species
AUUGAACGCUGGCGGCAGGCCUAACACAUGCAAGUCGAGCGGAUGAAGGGAGCUUGCUCCUGGAUUCAGCGGCGGACGGGUGAGUAAUGCCUAGGAAUCUGCCUGGUAGUGGGGGAUAACGUCCGGAAACGGGCGCUAAUACCGCAUACGUCCUGAGGGAGAAAGUGGGGGAUCUUCGGACCUCACGCUAUCAGAUGAGCCUAGGUCGGAUUAGCUAGUUGGUGGGGUAAAGGCCUACCAAGGCGACGAUCCGUAACUGGUCUGAGAGGAUGAUCAGUCACACUGGAACUGAGACACGGUCCAGACUCCUACGGGAGGCAGCAGUGGGGAAUAUUGGACAAAGGGCGAAAGCCUGAUCCAGCCAUGCCGCGUGUGUGAAGAAGGUCUUCGGAUUGUAAAGCACCUUAAGUUGGGAGGAAGGGCAGUAAGUUAAUACCUUGCUGUUUUGACGUUACCAACAGAAUAAGCACCGGCUAACUUCGUG